rnacentral:rRNA from 1 species
AGAGCAAAUGGCGGAUGCCUAGGCUCUCAGAGGCGAUGAAGGACGUGGUAAGCUGCGAUAAGCUACGGUAAGGUGCAAACGACCAUUACAACCGUAGAUUUCCGAAUGGGGCAACCCGAUACUUUGAAGAAGUAUCGUUCGAUAGAACGCUAACCCAGGGAACUGAAACAUCUAAGUACCUGGAGGAAAAGAAAACAAAAGUGAUUCCCUAAGUAGUGGCGAGCGAACAGGGAAUAGCCUAAACCAUAACGAUUUCGGUCGUUACGGGGUUGUAGGACCACGACGUGAUUAUAUUAUCUUAAGCAGAAGAAUUCUGGAAAGUUUUACCAUAGUGGGUGAUAGUCCCGUAUGCGUACAGUUAAUAUGAUCUAGUGGUAUCCUGAGUAGUGCGGGACCAGAGAAAUCUUGCAUGAAUCUGCCGGUACCAUCCGGUAAGGCUAAAUACUCCCGAGAGACCGAUAGCGAACUAGUACCGUGAGGGAAAGGUGAAAAGUACCGCAAGAAGCGGAGUGAAAUAGUACCUGAAACCAUGUGCUUACAACCGGUCGGAGCCAAUUUAUUUGGUGACGGCGUGCCUUUUGCAUAAUGAGCCUACGAGUUACUCGUCAUUGGCAAGGUUAACCUAUAAUGGGGAGCCGUAGCGAAAGCAAGUCUGAAUAGGGCGAAUAGUCAGUGGCGGUAGACGCGAAACCUGUGUGAUCUACCCAUGGGCAGGUUGAAGGUGUGGUAACACACACUGGAGGACCGAACCAAUAAGCGUUGAAAAGCUUCUGGAUGACCUGUGGGUAGGGGUGAAAGGCCAAUCAAACUGGGAGAUAGCUCGUACUCCCCGAAAUGCAUUUAGGUGCAGCCUCGGAAUGUAAGUGUUAUAGAGGUAGAGCUACCGAUUGGACUAGGGGGCUUCACCGCCUACCAAAUCCUGACGAACUCCGAAUGCUAUAACACAUGUCCGGGAGUGAGGCGCGGGGUGCUAAGGUCACGCGCCGAAAGGGAAACAACCCAGAUUAUCAGCUAAGGCCUCUAAAUCUAUGUUAAGUUGUUUAAACGAUGUUUGGUUGCUAUGACAGCUAGGAUGUUUGCUUGGAAGCAGCAAUUCAUUUAAAGAGUGCGUAACAGCUCACUAGUCGAGUGACCGAGCGCGGAAAAUAAUCGGGCAUCAAACAUAGUGCCGAAGCUAUAGGAUUUACCAUUAGGUAAAUCGGUAGGGGAGCAUUCUGUUCUGCAUCGAAGGCGAUUCGUAAGGAUCUCUGGAGCGGACAGAAAAGAAAAUGUAGGCAUAAGUAACGAUAAAAAAAAUGAAAAAUUUUUUCGCCGUAAGUCUAAGGAUUCCUGAUCAACGCUAAUCGAAUCAGGGUUAGUCGGGUCCUAAGGUGUAACCCGAGAGGGGCAACCGAUGGAAAGCUGGUUAAUAUUCCAGCACCUGCUUAUAUUGCGAUGGGGUGACGAAGGUGUGAAAGUACCGCGGGGUUACGGAAUAUCCCGUUAAAGCGUGUAGAUAUUGAUAGAGUAGGCAAAUCCGCUCUUGAAUCGAACGUGAUAGUACACAAGGUUUUCGAACUGAGUGAUAGUGUACCUAAUCAGACUUCCUAGAAAAACCUCUAAGCUUCAGGUAUAAGCAGCCCGUACCGUAAACCGACACAGGUAGACGAGGAGAGUAUCCUCAGGCGCUCGAGUGAGUCACGGCUAAGGAACUCGGCAAAAUGGACCCGUAACUUCGGGAGAAGGGUCGCCCCAGCAAUGGGGCCGCAGUGAAAAGUAUCAGGCGACUGUUUAACAAAAACACAGGGCUCUGCAAAAUCGAAAGAUGAAGUAUAGGGCCUGACACCUGCCCGGUGCUGGAAGGUUAAGGAAGGUUGUUAGCCGCAAGGCAAAGCUUCCGACUGAAGCCCCAGUAAACGGCGGCCGUAACUAUAACGGUCCUAAGGUAGCGAAAUUCCUUGUCGGGUAAGUUCCGACCUGCACGAAUGGUGUAACGAUCUGAUAACUGUCUCAGCCGCGAGCUCGGUGAAAUUGUAGUCCCGGUGAAGAUGCCGGGUACCCGUAACGGGACGGAAAGACCCCGUGAACCUUCACUACAACUUUGCAUUGACUUUGAGUAAACGAUGUGUAGCAUAGGUGGGAGACUUUGAAGCGGGCACGCUAGUGUUCGUGGAGUCAACGUUGAAAUACCACCCUUUGUUUACUUAGAGCCUAAUCCGCUAAGCGGAGAAAGUGCAUGGUGGGUAGUUUGACUGGGGUGGUCGCCUCCAAAAGAGUAACGGAGGCUUCCAAAGGUACCCUCAGCACGCUUGGUAACCGUGCGCAGAGUGUAUUAGCAUAAGGGUGCUUGACUGUGAGACCGACGGGUCGAGCAGGUACGAAAGUAGGGUAAAGUGAUCCGGUGGUUCUGCAUGGAAGGGCCAUCGCUCAAAGGAUAAAAGGUACUCCGGGGAUAACAGGCUGAU